rnacentral:rRNA from 1 species
GACGAACGCUGGCGGCGUGCCUAAUACAUGCAAGUAGAACGCACAGUUUAUACCGUAGCUUGCUACACCAUAGACUGUGAGUUGCGAACGGGUGAGUAACGCGUAGGUAACCUUCCUGGUAGCGGGGGAUAACUAUUGGAAACGAUAGCUAAUACCGCAUAAUAUUAAUUAUUGCAUGAUAAUUAAUUGAAAGGUGCAAUUGCACCACUACCAGAUGGACCUGCGUUGUAUUAGCUAGUAGGGGAGGUAACGGCUCACCUAGGCGACGAUACAUAGCCGACCUGAGCGGGUGAUCGGCCCACAUUGGAAUGGGACACGGCCCAGACUCCUACGGGAGGCAGCCGUAGGGAAUCUUCGGACAUGGACGGAAGUCUGACCGAGCAACGCCGGGUGAGUGAAGAAGGUUUUCGGAGCGUAAAGCUCUGUUGUAAGGGAAGAAAGGGUGUGAGGGUGGAAAGUUCACACUGUGACGGUAUCUUACCAGAAAGGGACGGCUAACUACGUG